UACGAAGGGGGCUAGCGUUGUUCGGAAUUACUGGGCGUAAAGCGCGCGCAGGCGGUCUUCCAAGUCAGUGGUGAAAGCCUGGAGCUCAACUCCAGAACUGCCAUUGAAACUGUUGGACUUGAGUACGAGAGAGGUGAGUGGAAUUCCCAGUGUAGAGGUGAAAUUCGUAGAUAUUCGGAGGAACACCAGUGGCGAAGGCGGCUCACUGGCUCGAUACUGACGCUGAGGUGCGAAAGCGUGGGGAGCAAACAGG
rnacentral:rRNA from 1 species